AUUCAAGUAGUUUAAUUAAAAUACUGGUUUGUGGAACCUGAGAUGUAUGUUUUACCUUGAAUA
rnacentral:tRNA from 1 species